CUAAAACCAAUCUCUAGACAAAUGCAAACAAAUUAGCCAAUUUAUAGCUCAUGAGAAUGGUUUCGGACGCGUCCAAAACCAACCCUGCGAGAAAAUGCAAAUCAAUUGACCAAUAUGUCCAAAACUAUCCUGGGGAAAUGCAAACCAAUUCGCUGAUUUUAGCAAAAAAUCCCCAGGAAAUGAAAACAAAUCAGCCGAUUUUAGUGCUUUUGAAAAUGGUUUUAGAUGCGUCCAAAACCAAUCCCUAGACAAAUUUGCCAAUGUAUAGCUCAUCAGAAUGGUUUUGGAUGCGUCGAAAACCAACCCUGCAGGAAAAUGCAAUUCAAUUCACCAAUUUUAGCGCUAAUGAAAAUGGUUUUGGAUGCAUCCAAAACCAAUGCUUAGACAAAUGCAAACAAAUUAGCUAAUUUAUAGCUCAUGAGAAUAGUUUCGGAUGCGUCCAAAACCAACCCUGCAAGAUAAUGCAAAUCAAUUGACCAAUAUGUCCAAAACUAUCCUGGAGAAAUGCAAACCAAUUCGCUGAUUUUAGCAAAAAAUCCCCAGACAAAUCAGCCGAUUUUAGUGCAUUUGGAAAUGGUUUUAGAUGCAUCCAAAACCAAUCUCUAGGCAAAAGCCAACAAAUUAGCCAAUUUAAAGCUCAUGAGAAUGGUUUUGGAUGCGUCCAAAACCAACCCUGCAGGAAAAUGCAAAUCAAUUCACCAAUUUUAGCGCUAAUGAAAAUGGUUUUGGAUGCAUCUAAAACCAAUCCCUAGACAAAUGCAAACAAAUUAGCCAAUUUAUAGCUCAUGAGAAUGGUUUUGGACGCGUCCAAAACCAACCCUGCGAGAAAAUGCAAAUCAAUUGACCAAUAUGUCCAAAACUAUCCUGGAGAAAUGGAAACCAAUUCGCCGAUUUUAGCAAAAAAUCCCCAGACAAAUCAGCCGAUUUUAGUGCAUUUGGAAAUGGUUUUAGAUGCAUCCAAAACCAAUCUCUAGGCAAAAGCGAACAAAUUAGCCAAUUUAAAGCUCAUGAGAAUGGUUUUGGAUGCGUCCAAAACCAACCCUGCAGGAAAAUGCAAAUCAAUUGACCAAUAUGUCCAAAACUAUCCUGGAGAAAUGGAAACCAAUUCGCUGGUUUUAGCAAAAAAUCCUCAGACAAAUCAGCCGAUUUUAGCGCUUAUGGAAAUGGUUUUGGAUGCGCCAAAACCAAUGCUUAGACAAAUGCAAACAAAUUAGCUAAUUUAUAGCUCAUGACAAUGGUUUCGGAUGCGUCCAAAACCAACCCUGCGAGAUAAUGCAAAUCAAUUGACCAAUAUGUCCAAAACUAUCCUGGAGAAAUGCAAACCAAUUCGCUGAUUUUAGCAAAAAAUCCCCAGACAAAUCAGCCGAUUUUAGUGCAUUUGGAAAUGGUUUUAGAUGCAUCCAAAACCAAUCUCUAGACAAAAGCGAACAAAUUAGCCAAUUUAAAGCUCAUGAGAAUGGUUUUGGAUGCAUCCAAAACCAACCCUGCAGGAAAAUGCAAAUCAAUUCACCAAUUUUAGCGCUAAUGAAAAUGGUUUUGGAUGCAUCUAAAACCAAUCCCUAGACAAAUGCAAACAAAUUAACCAAUUUAUAGCUUAUGAGAAUGGUUUUGGACGCGUCCAAAACCAACCCCUGCGAGAAAAUGCAAAUCAAUUGACCAAUAUGUCCAAAACUAUCCUGGAGAAAUGGAAACCAAUUCGCUGAUUUUAGCAAAAAAUCCCCAGACAAAUCAGCCGAUUUUAGUGCAUUUGGAAAUGGUUUUGGAUGCGUCCAAAACCAAUGCUUAGACAAAUGCAAACAAAUUAGCUAAUUUAUAGCUCAUGAGAAUGGUUUCGGAUGCGUCCAAAACCAACCCUGCGAGAUAAUGCAAAUCAAUUGACCAAUAUGUCCAAACUAUCCUGGAGAAAUGGAAACCAAUUCGCUGAUUUUAGCAAAAAAUCCCCAGACAAAUCAGCCGAUUUUAGCGCUUAUGGAAAUGGUUUUGGAUGCGUCCAAAACCAAUGCUUAGACAAAUGCAAACAAAUUAGCUAAUUUAUAGCUCAUGAGAAUGGUUUCGGAUGCGUCCAAAACCAACCCUGCGAGAUAAUGCAAAUCAAUUGACCAAUAUGUCCAAAACUAUCCUGGAGAAAUGGAAACCAAUUCGCUGAUUUUAGCAAAAAAUUCCCAGACAAAUCAGCCGAUUUUAGCGCUUAUGGAAAUGGUUUUGGAUGCUUCCAAAACCAAUCUCUUGGAUGCAUCCCAAACCAUUUUAAAUCGGUAAAUUGAUGUCCAUUUUAUUUUGGAUCGGUUUUGGACGCAUCCAGAACCAUCCUCAUGAGCUAUAAAUUGGCUAAUUUGUUUGCAUUUGUCUAGGGAUUGGUUCUGGACGCA
rnacentral:lncRNA from 1 species